GAUGAACGCUGGCGGCGUGCCUAAUACAUGCAAGUCGAGCGAACAGAUAAGGAGCUUGCUCCUUUGACGUUAGCGGCGGACGGGUGAGUAACACGUGGGUAACCUACCUAUAAGACUGGAAUAACUCCGGGAAACCGGGGCUAAUACCGGAUAACAUUUAGAACCGCAUGGUUCUAAAGUGAAAGAUGGUUUUGCUAUCACUUAUAGAUGGACCCGCGCCGUAUUAGCUAGUUGGUAAGGUAACGGCUUACCAAGGCAACGAUACGUAGCCGACCUGAGAGGGUGAUCGGCCACACUGGAACUGAGACACGGUCCAGACUCCUACGGGAGGCAGCAGUAGGGAAUCUUCCGCAAUGGGCGAAAGCCUGACGGAGCAACGCCGCGUGAGUGAUGAAGGUCUUCGGAUCGUAAAACUCUGUUAUUAGGGAAGAACAAAUGUGUAAGUAACUGUGCACGUCUUGACGGUACCUAAUCAGAAAGCCACGGCUAACUACGUG
rnacentral:rRNA from 1 species